rnacentral:tRNA from 1 species
GAGACGCUAGUAAAAUACUUACCUUGCCUUGUCGAGGCAAAAUUGUGGGUAACCACCCCCACGUGUCUUA